CUACGGGUUGAUGCAGUGGGGAAUAUUGCGCAAUGGGCGAAAGCCUGACGCAGCGACGCCGCGUGAGGGAAGAAGGCCUUCGGGUCGUAAACCUCUGUCAGGAGGGAAGAAACGCACGGGGAGGAAAUGCUCUGUGCCUGACGGUACCUCCAGAGGAAGCACCGGCCAACUCCGUGCCAGCAGCCGCGGUAAUACGGAGGGUGCGAGCGUUAAUCGGAAUUACUGGGCGUAAAGCGCGCGUAGGCGGUUUGGCAAGUCGGGUGUGAAAGCCCUCGGCUCAACCGAGGAACAGCACUUGAAACUGCCAGACUGGAGUUCGGGAGAGGGUAGCGGAAUUCCGGGUGUAGGGGUGAAAUCCGUAGAUAUCCGGAGGAACACCGGUGGCGAAGGCGGCUACCUGGACCGAUACUGACGCUGAGGUGCGAAAGCGUGGGGAGCUAACAGGAUUAGAUACCCCAGUAGUC
rnacentral:rRNA from 1 species